AAAAUAAUCGUAUUUGAGGCCACAACUGACGGAAACGGAUGAAAAUCGUAUUUUUUCUAAAAUAUUAACAGUCUAUUUUUAACUAUAUAGGUUGUGUUAUUUUUAAAAUAACUAAGCCAUAGUUAUUUUCUGACGCAGAAAAUGUAUCCGCAGUGAUUUUACUAACAAAUCAUUUUAUUUUCCCCAAAAACUUGAUUUUAAAGGCAGUAGAAUAUAUAUUAUACAAAAAACAUAUUAAAUAUAUAAUUUUACAAGAUAGUUUAAUUAUAUAAAAAAACGUGGACGUCUAGUGAAAAUUUUGUGAAAGCCGGCAAUUUUUUUGCAAUAAAACGAAGAAAAACAACUUCAGACUGUGUGACAUUUCGCCAAAAGUGUGAUUCCAGCUACGUAGUGACGCAAAGUGAACCUUAUUUCCGAGCAGUUUUGGUGUCUUUUCUUUCUCAACUUUUAAAAGUAUAUUUACAAAAAAAAAACUCUAUUUUGUCUAUGCUAAUAUUACUGGCGUUACAAUGACCGCUUGAAGUUCGCGUUCAAAUUCCGAAUCGUGAGUGCGGUUGGCAGCUGUCAAAAUGCUUACAAUGUCGACGUUGAUGAUGCCAGCUGCUACCAUGACGACUAUGACGAACGCCGGGCCGAUCCCAGUGGCGGCUCCCACGAAGCUGGAGCCAGCUAAGCUGCUGCAGCUCACGCAUCCGGCGCUGAUGCAGCAACAGAUGCCGCAACAACAAAUGCAGCAGCACCAGCAGCAGCAGCAGCCUACGCAGAACAAUAGCAAAAUCGAACACUACCACAUAUUCGUGGGCGACCUCAGUCCAGAGAUCGAGACGCAGAGUUUGCGGGAUGCCUUCGCGCCCUUCGGAGAGAUUUCAGACUGUCGAGUAGUGAGAGAUCCCCAAACGCUGAAAUCCAAAGGAUAUGGAUUUGUUUCUUUUUUGAAAAAAUCGGAGGCGGAGUCGGCCAUCACGGCGAUGAACGGGCAGUGGCUCGGCUCGCGGUCCAUCCGGACCAACUGGGCCACCCGGAAACCGCCCGCGCCCAAAACUGAAUUGAACUCCAAGCCGCUGACCUUCGACGAGGUGUACAACCAGAGCUCUCCCACCAACUGUACGGUCUACUGCGGCGGGCUCGCCAACGGGCUGUCCGAGGAGCUGAUGCAGAAGACCUUCCAGCCCUUCGGCACCAUACAGGAGAUACGCGUGUUCAAGGACAAGGGAUACGCUUUUAUUAGAUUCUCCACGAAAGAGAGCGCAACACACGCCAUCGUGGCGGUGCACAACGCCGAUGUCAACGGGCAGCCCGUCAAGUGCUCCUGGGGGAAGGAGUCCGGGGAUCCCAAUAAUGCGCAGGCUCAGGGACAGCUAAGCGGCACGCCCUACAGCCCAUUCGGGGCCGCUUACGGAUGCGGCGCCGUCCCCGCCGCCGGCUAUUGGUACAACGCGGGGUACCCGCAGCAGCUGGGCGGGUUCCUGCAGGGCGUGCAGGGGUACUCCUACGCCGGGCAGUAUGCUCAGUACGCUCAGCACCAGUAUAUGCCUGCUGGAACACCAUUCUCCUCCUCGAGCAUGGGCGGCGUGGCGCAGCUGCCGGGCGCGUGGGCGCUGGGCGGCGGCGUGGGCGGAGUGGGCGCCGUGGGCGGGGUGGGCGGUGUGGGCGGCGUGGCGGCCAUGUCCGCGCAGCCGCCGCAGGUGCUCCACUAUCCUGUGCAGCACUUCCAGGUGCAACCGAUCGCCGAAGACGAGUGGCUGGCCCCCAGCCUGCUGGUGUGAGGACAGCGGCCCCCGCCCCCCGACCCCUGUCCCUGCAACUCGCAACAGAAACAAGAAUGGGACAGAAAUAAGGACAUCGGGCGAGCUGUGCUUAUGAAAAACAGCUUUUAGAGUGUCGAAAUAAGGUUUCAAAUGGAUAAAAAUAAAUAAGCGGGAAAACAAAUACAAAAGAAGAGACACAAGUAAUGUGAGUCAUAAAUAUGGACGAAUCUAGUUUAUAAUCAUAAAAAAAUGCUUAUGAAAAUGCGUAUAUAAAAAAUGCAUAAAAAUUUAACUUAAGUUACCUGUAGACGUUAAUUAAGUUAGGCUAAAUUAACACGCGGGCCAAAUGGUUGGAGAAAAUUAACGAAAAAAAAGAAUUUUUCGGCUUAAACAAAAAGGCGGGCAGAUUUGAUGAUUGGGUACCAACACAUCAGAAGCACAAUGGUAGAAUAAAUAAGAUUAGACUAAAUUAGUAUUUUGGAAACAUGUUUAGUAGAAAGUAACAUAGUAAAAAAAACAUAGAACGGUUCACAUCUAAGAGUGAGAAAAGUUUUUUAAACAUUUUUUAUCUAUGAAGAUUGUUAGGAACGCUAUGUGAUGUGUCAUAGAAUUAGAGAUACAAUAAAAACUGUAGUGGACAAACUUUACAAAGAAGUCACUAGUCAUUUCAGACUUUUUUUUGUUUUUUGCAAAAAAAAAUGGACAAUGCCAAAUUCAAUUCCAUAAUUUACGAAGUCGAAAUAAAACUAUUAAAACUACUGUUAUAAUGAUGGUUGUGUCUAAUAAUAAAAAGAUACACAUAAAAAAAAUCUUGAAAAAUACCGAUACUAGUCGAAAUAUUAGAUUUAUUUAUUAUAUAGGAAAUUAAGUAAAAAGAAAAAAUAUUUAUUGCAUAGAUAAUAAGAAAUACUCGUUUACUGUAGACAAUGGAGAAAGUGUAAGGAUUAAUUUAAAAAAAAAAACCUUUUUUCAAUGCUCAGCUAAUCUUCUUUUCCUUCAGUUUCCACCGCUAACUCUUUUGAUGGAAGAAUAUAAAAAAAUGUAAGACAACGGAUAAAUUUAGGCAAGUGAGAUGAUGUUCUUGCUAAAGAGCAUCAUUUAUUUGAAGCGUGUGAAUUUUAAGAGAUAACAUUUUAGUGUUGUAACUUUUUAGAUAGAAUCGACGUACCUAGAUGAUAGCCUACUUAAACUGUCAUUUUUGAAACUUUUUGCGAGGUCGAGGAAGAACUACAGAAACCUCAAACGAAGGAAUAUUUUGUAAAUGAUGUAUUUUAUAUAUUAUAUUGACAAAAGUGUUAUUUGGUUUACUGUCGUAGGUUCAGUUUCUUUGUUAGCAUGUUUCGUUUGGCACUAGUAUAAUUUUUCGAGCCUGUUAGAGAAAACUUGUGAGACAUAUCGCUAGAACAUGAAAUAUAUUAUUAAGAUAUAUAGUAUUUAUAUAUUAAAAAUAUAGUACGUUAAAUAUUGUAUUGUAUUUUAAGCUGAUAAGGUAUGAAUUGUGAGGCGUCAAUUUCACUAAGUCAAUAGAACGAAGGACAAUUGGGGAUAUGUACAGUAAGGGGCAGAUAAACCUGACCCCCCUCAGAAGCAUUGUUACUAUGAGAUGGGGGUCAGGUUUCUCUGCACCUGACCGUACCUUGGAGAUGGAACCUGUGGAAGCCAGAUUAUAUCAAACCACAUUGAAAUUCGAGAAAGUUAGAUAGUCAAAUUUAGUGUUAGUCAAACAUAUAAUGAAUGCUAGUUAUUAGUGAAAUCAUAUAAAAAGCCCAUAACCGCUUGAUGUAGUGAAAUAGUAAGCAUUAAAAUAUUGUAACAAAUAUAUCCGAAUAGAUAUGUAAGGAGUAUAAUGUUAAAAAAAUACUGGUUUUCGCAGAAGUCGAAUAUGAGACAAAAAUCUUGAAUCGACUUGUCUAUGCCUUUCUUGUUGCUAUAUACUUCCCUAUAUACAUACAUACAUACAUAUAUAGUUAAAUGCUAAACUUAAUUAAGGAUAAAUAAAUGGCUUUGCAGCCUACACUAUAUAAAAUAAGGUACAUAGAUGUAAAGCGUUAAUAUAUAAACGAUAAUGGAUUAACUCCCUACUUGGAAGAGAGUGUGUUAGCUAGGUGAAUUGCAAGUUAUUUAAAAGUAUAUUUAAAUAUAUACAAAAUGAUUGCGCAAAUAUCUUAAAAAUAACAAUAUAAUCUAUCGUUUAGAUAGGCUAUUAAAAUAUCGUAAGUGAUUUCCAUUUUUUUUAAGCCAUGUUUUUCAUUUAAGUAUUUAUUUUUGGUUUGUAAAUGUAAACCUUCUUCAUUCCAUUAAUAUAAGGUACAAUAGUAUGUAUACAAUAUAUAUUAAACUUAUAUUUUAAAUAUAUAAUUUUAAGUCCCAAAUAUAACACCAAAUAUUUUAUAAUCCUGAUCAUUAUGUAAGUAAAAUGAGUAGGUCGAUGGUAAUUAUAAAGUCUCGUAUAGUCUCAUACAAAACAGUUUAAAACAUAAUGUAAAACUUUUAACCAAUUUUAGCUAUAUAUAAUACUUUAGACACACCUACUAAAAUUAAUUUGCAUAGUGGAGGCAAGAGCUGGUAUGUUUUGUAUUCAAAAAUAUAUAUGUUGAAAUUAUUGUCAAAUAACAUUUAAACUAUCUUCUGUGUAAAAAGUUCAAUUUUCAAGCAAUUUACACCGCCCAUUAGGUGGCGUUUUCAAGAAUAAGAUUUUUAAUAAUAUUGAAAAUAAUUUUUAUUGAUUUAUGAAAACACACCUCUUUUAGGCGUGUGUUCUUAUAACCUACUCGUGAAACUAAAAAAAUCGUUUUUUACUCAAAAAACGUUACCAGCUCUAGCUCACAUAGUGCCAAAAAGUUAAUUUCAUUUCCUGGUUUCUAUCCUUUUAAAAAUAUUCUACAUCAUGUCUAUUGGUCCGUCUUUCCACGUCUCGAAACACCAAUUAUAUUCAGACUUAAGUAUAAAUCCUCUAAGAGUGAUAAAAAUAUUACAGUCUUGAUUUUUUAAAUACAAUUUAAAGCAAUAAACAAAAACUGUAGAGAAAAACACAAAACGUCAAACGUUUUAUCAUAUCCGUAGUAGCAAUUUUUUAAAAUCAAGACUGAAAUAGCUAGCCUAUAGUGCGUUUCGUUGGUAAAAAAAAUAGAUGAUGAUUAUUUUGUAGGCUUUCAUUCGCUGCUUUUAUAUUUUUUUAUUCAAAGGAAAAUGAUUCAUCAAUGGGAAAGAAAACCAAGUGAAACUUUGGCAGCACCAGCGAGUGCGCCUUUUUGGUUCUGACCAAUUACAUUGUUGGGGAAAAAAAAUGGCGACUGAACCAACCAAUUAGAACUGCGGAAUCAGGCACAGUCGCCGAAGGCGCCAUCUGUAAUUAGCAUUUAGUUUUUCUCCCCAUUGAAUCUGUAAGCGUGUUGGUACUCUACCGUUGAAAAUGUUUGUUGUUAGUAAAAAUAGCAAAAUAAAUAGUUUGUUUUUUUAAAAUUUUAUUUUGUUAUUGAUUUAGAUACUAACGAUUUUGUUUGCUUAUAAAAUUUUAUGUGUGUCUUUUUUAACACUUAUCUUGUUUUCUCAUUAUAGUUGCUAUAAUCUGUGAUUUAUUUUGCGAAAUUCUGGUUUGCAAGCCUUCAAAAUAAAAUCAUCUAUUCGUAUAACAAAACGAUAAAGACUUUAGUCGAGAAUAUUACUAAGUGUGUCCCUUUUAAAAAUCAAUUUCUUAGUAAAUGUAUUUUGUUUUAGAUACAAGCUAGAGGUUUUGAUGUGUUGUAGUGUAUUUUUAACUAACGUUUACUCUUUUUCACUUUUUUGUUGUAGAAAUUCUUGUCUUCUAGGUGUGGUUUUUACUGUUUCGCUUUUUACGAAAUUCCGAUAAAAUAUAUGAAAUGCCUUACCAACAAGCUAAGAACUGAUGUAAGAAGGAAAAAAAAUGCAAAUGGCUAAUAUAAUUACGGUCAUCACUUUUGUCCACUUGCAUUUCAUGGACACUAGAAUUAUAUUGCUAUGGUGUUACUGUAAUUAUUAUUAUCUUGUAGCUACCUAUAAAUGGUACUAUACUUGUGAACUAAAACAAUUAACAUCACGCUAAUACAACUUGGCCAAAUUUUACAUUGUAAAAUCCGGGCGAAUCACGAUUUUUUGAGCAGUUUGUAUGACAUUUUGAUCAUCGCCGCUGAACUCUCUGAACUAAUAAAAAUGUAUGAAAAAGGAAGUUUUAAAUCAUACAAAAUAGACUGUGUGACACCAUUUUCUUCUCAAUUGACGUAAAUUCAACUGAAACUGGUACAGUAUAAGGCAGAUAAAUCUGACCCCUCUCAGAAGCAUUGUUUCUAUGAGAGGGGGGUCAGUUUUCUCUGCACAUGACCGUACUUGCUGCCUUCGAUAUGCGGUCAAACCUUGAUUUAAUAUUGUUUGCAAUUUAAGUAGAACGUGUCUUUUUAACAAUACUGAAUGAUUGAAACAGCAAUAAUAAUUGUUAUGCAAUAGUUGUGACGUAGAUAUCUUUCUUUCUUGUACUGCUAGAUGAUUCUUAUGAGAAAAAGAAGUAGAUGAAAGAUAUGAUCUUUAAUCGGAGAGUGUUCUAUGAUAAUUUUCUGUACCUGUGAAGUCUCCUUAAAAAGUUUUUUUACAACUUAUUAUGGGUAAUAUUAAAAUAAAAACGAAUUCGGGUCAAUUUUUUUAACACAUCUCCCUUCUUUUUUUCAACCGUCCAUGGAUGUUGUAUUAUUAUACUUAGUCAUUUCAUUUUUUUUGUAGUAAGUAUACCUACUUAACUCAUCAGCUCAAUUUUUCGUGUAAAAAACAACCAAAGUAAUUCUGCAACGCACACUUCUAAAAUUGUAAAAGUGUAUUUAACAGUUUUUUUUUCAAUUAUGUCCUUACCCCCCCCCGAGCUUUGGUUUAAAAAUUAUAAUGUGAUUUUUCGAACUUAAAAAUGAAAUUGACCAUAAAAUGUUAGUGAUUUUACCCUUCACCUUUUUUCUAAUCUUCGCAAUUUAUACAAUAUUAUAUUUAUAUCAUAGGAAUAUGCGAGAUUACUUAAGCUACGUAUAAUUGUACCUCUAAGGAGAAAUUUUGUUAUUUUUUAUACCCCCCUAGAUUUUUUAUUUUUGAGUUAGACCCUUUUUUUGAGAAUGUCUCACUAGGUAAGGCUUAGAUAUAAACGAAUAGUGAGUUUAAGCAUUAUUUAAUUAGUAUAUAAUUGAUUGCUAUGGCAUAAUGAUAAAUCUCAUUUUUGUUAUUUAUUGUUGACGACUUGGUUUUUCUGUGUAAGAUGUUGUUUUGUUAAUGUUUACAAUGGUGUUGAUUUUAACUGUUUAGGUACUUACAGCGAAGAUUUCUUCAUUUUGAAUUUGUCAUUUAUCUAUUAGUCGCAGUCAACGAUCUGGUU